GAGACUCUGGAGCAGAAACCACCGACUGCAGCUCAGAUCAGAUACGUUUUGCUCCACAACGCCAUCCCCUUCAUCGGGUUUGGUUUCCUCGAUAACGCCAUCAUGAUCGCAGCAGGAACUCAGAUUGAACUCUCCAUCGGCGUCACUCUGGGGAUCUCCACCAUGGCCG